UACGGAGGGUGCGAGCGUUGUCCGGAAUCACUGGGCGUAAAGGGCGCGUAGGUGGCGCGGGCAGUCAACGGUGAAAGUUCGGGGCUCAACCCUGAAUCGGCCGUCGAUACUCCCGUGCUUGAGCACUGUAGAGGCAGAUGGAAUUCCGGGUGUAGCGGUGGAAUGCGUAGAGAUCCGGAAGAACACCGGUGGCGAAGGCGGUCUGCUGGGCGAGAGCUGACACUGAGGCGCGACAGCG
rnacentral:rRNA from 1 species